CCUACGGGAGGCAGCAGUGGGGAAUAUUGGACAAUGGGGGCAACCCUGAUCCAGCCAUGCCGCGUGUGUGAAGAAGGCCUUUUGGUUGUAAAGCACUUUAAGCAGGGAGGAGAGGCUAAUGGUUAAUACCCAUUAGAUUAGACGUUACCUGCAGAAUAAGCACCGGCUAACUCUGUGCCAGCAGCCGCGGUAAUACAGAGGGUGCGAGCGUUAAUCGGAAUUACUGGGCGUAAAGCGAGUGUAGGUGGCUCAUUAAGUCACAUGUGAAAUCCCCGGGCUUAACCUGGGAACUGCAUGUGAUACUGGUGGUGCUAGAAUAUGUGAGAGGGAAGUAGAAUUCCAGGUGUAGCGGUGAAAUGCGUAGAGAUCUGGAGGAAUACCGAUGGCGAAGGCAGCUUGCUGGCAUAAUAUUGACACUGAGAUUCGAAAGCGUGGGUAGCAAACAGGAUUAGAUACCCUGGUAGUCCACGCCGUAAACGAUGUCUACUAGCCGUUGGGGUCCUUGAGACUUUAGUGGCGCAGUUAACGCGAUAAGUAGACCGCCUGGGGAGUACGGCCGCAAGGUUGAAACUCAAAGGAAUUGACGG
rnacentral:rRNA from 1 species